AUUGAACGCUGGCGGCAGGCCUAACACAUGCAAGUCGAACGGUAGCACAGAGAGCUUGCUCUCGGGUGACGAGUGGCGGACGGGCGAGUAAUGUCUGGGAAACUGCCUGAUGGAGGGGGAUAACUACUGGAAACGGUAGCUAAUACCGCAUAACGUCGCAAGACCAAAGAGGGGGACCUUCGGGCCUCUUGCCAUCGGAUGUGCCCAGAUGGGAUUAGCUAGUAGGUGGGGUAACGGCUCACCUAGGCGACGAUCCCUAGCUGGUCUGAGAGGAUGACCAGCCACACUGGAACUGAGACACGGUCCAGACUCCUACGGGAGGCAGCAGUGGGGAAUAUUGCACAAUGGGCGCAAGCCUGAUGCAGCCAUGCCGCGUGUAUGAAGAAGGCCUUCGGGUUGUAAAGCACUUUCAGCGGGGAGGAAGGGGUUGAGUUUAAUACGCUCAAUCAUUGACGUUACCCGCAGAAGAAGCACCGGCUAACUCUGUGCCAGCAGCCGCCGUAAGAC
rnacentral:rRNA from 1 species